rnacentral:lncRNA from 1 species
CUGAAAGAAACUUAGAGACUUUAAAGUUGGAAAAGUAAAGUUUAGAUAUAUAAAAUUACUUUUGAAGAUCGUAAAGCAAAGCCAUUUGUAGGGCACUUGCUGUGCGUUCCUAUCCUUUGCCCACUUUUUGAUGGGGUUGUUUGGUUUUUUCUUGUAAAUUUGUUUAAGUUAUUUGUAAAUUCUGGAUAUUAGCUCUUUGUCAGAUGGAUAGAUUGCAAAAUUUUUCUCCCAUUCUGUAGGUUGCCUGUUCACUCCGAUGAUAGUUUCUUUUGCUGUGCAGAAACUCUUUAGUUUAAUUAGAUCCCAUCUCUCAUCUUUCUAGCACAAAGCCUUGGGAAAAGUGGCUCAGCGAAGGGGCUCUUGGAAAUACUGUCAUGGGGUGGCUUGUCCACUUUUCCAGCUCAGGGGAAGACUCUAAGCUGCUUCUUUUCAGUCUUAUUCAAAUGGGAGGAAAUGUAGGGAGGUUUUCAUUUCUACACAAUAAAGUAGCCUUCUCAUACAUAUCGGAGAAAACAAAACUUGGAUAUAAACAUAUAAUCAAAUAAAUAUUGACAGCUCAUAGUAGUAUUUUUCCUUGAAUAUUUUAAGAAUCACAUUUAUAAUAAAAUGAAGUUAAAAUUAUUUACCAAUUAAGAUUCAUUCAGCCAACAGAUGAUCUGGCACAGAUAAUACAAUAACAUAUAAUACAAGCUGAUGUAAAGGUUUCAGUGGUUGAUCUAUGAAUGUGACAAGACACCGUUACUGGAAAUUGAGUUUCUUAAAAUUAAAACAAAAAGGUUUGGGAUAUUAGUAAUAUUUGUAGUCAAUAGUAAGCAGAUAAAAGUUUCAUAAUGACGUAUUAGUCAAGAGUUUUCUUUUUCUAAAUGACCAAUGCAUCAUGUAGUAAAACAUUAUUUUUUAUGAUUAACUAUUGCAGAAACAUUUUAUCUGAAAUCAUUUGCUAUUAUUUAAUAUAGAAACCCCUCUGAUACUAUAAGGGAGAGUUGACAAUGGCAGAGGGGUUUUGAAAGAUUAUUUUUAAUAUUUGGCAUAAUAGCCUAUAAUGGUUCCUAUGACUCUGAUCACUCACAAAUUGAAUUAAAACCAAGUAAAUUUGAAUCCUUUCAUAUUGCUUUAACAGUUCAUAUUUUGUGUUGCUUUUAUAGUUAUAAUUUCAUGUGGCCCUGGGUUUGUCUUCUAAAAUUUCUCAAUUGUUUUCAGCUCCCAGAAAUACCAUAGUUAUUAUUUUAAAGGAAAGUUUUCUAACUUGCAUUAAAAAAAAAAACUCUUGAGAUAGUGGAAAUACUUUUAGCCUUAGCUGCCAAAUCGUAUAUGGGAUU